AUUCCAUCACCAGCUAGCCCAGAAGCCAGAGGCCUGCUCCAUCCUGUGGGAGGAACUCAAGAGCCUGGAUGGGAACAUUCUAUCCCCGUAUCUCCAAAAAGGGAACUUACCAGCUCCCAUCACACCAGCCAGGACCCUCAGCUGGCAGAGAAAUCAAAGUUGCAAUAUCUGUGACUUUUCAAGGGCCCUAGCGAGGGGAUCUGGUUAGAGUGACUCUCAUGAAGGCAUUACCAGAGGAAGCUCCUGGAAUGAGAUCCUGUGUCUCCAGGAAGAACACAACAAAUGAAGCAUGUCCAAGGAAACACAGUCUAAGACACUGGAGCUAUUGUGUCACAGAUGACUAAGACCCACCAACUCAGUCUUCACUCUCAGUCUGAAGAACCCAGUGGUGGAAUUGGAUUCAUUCAGCUGCUGCCACAAGGAACCCCGAUGGAGGCGGUAACAAGACACAUUGUGUAUGUAUGUGAGGGGUGCCCAGAGGAAGUGGAAACUGAUAAGGGGAAGAGGCGGGUGCACAGCUGAGGAGACCAGAAUGGCUCUAUAAAGAGAGUGCCCGUGGCAGCUAGAAGAGGAUGCCAGGUCUCUUGGAACUGGAAUUAUAAAUGGUUGUGAGCUGCGACAUGAGUCCUUUGAAUGAUCAGGCAGUGCUCUUAACCACUGAACCACCUAUCCAGUCCCCGUACAAUCAAUGUUCAUUAUUCAUGGAAGUUCAUAUUCUACAGUUACCAUGAACACUGAGAGGGUGGGUCGUGAACCACUGCCCCUGCACAUCCUGGGAAACACAGACCUCUGCUCCUGCAGCCCACAGACCAAUCAGCACAAUGCCUUUCAUUGUGUUUCUACUAAAAGACAUGCCACAGCCUUCUUGUACUUAGGAACACCAGGCCUUAUUUCAAAACAUGCUUGGGACUACAUUAAGGGAUACAAUGAUCAAGGAAAAGCACCAGAAUGCAAAAGAAAGCGAAACUAAGACCUACCGUGGUUUAUUUUUAGUCUUUUGCAUCCUUCUGAGAGAGGUUCUUCAAACAUCUGGUGGACCUUGAUUGGCCUUUAUCAGAGGGAGGCCUUAAAAUGCUCAGUGGAAGCUUCAUGUGUAUGAGUGAUGGGCUGGGGGCUGUCUGUAGGAUGCUAGGACCGGGUGCUGGUCAGGUAGGCUCCUAUAAAUGGCCUCUGUUAAGGUCACUUCUGUGCCGUGAGUCUAGUUAAACUGUCCCUUUCAGCUUCCUAUGUGAAACACAAGGCUGCCCAUGGUGCUGCCACUUCUGACGGACCUCCCAGAAGCAAGUAACUUAAUCUUUCAUUUAGAUGUUUGUGCCCCCCCCCCACCAAGCCCCUGGAAUGCCACCCCCUCGUCAGGGCUCUGCUGUAGUCAUAUUUCCCUCCACACUCAUUCUCUUGCUCUCUGUCCCAGGGCUCAGCUAGUCCCCCUCUGUUGUCUGCUCUUUUGUCUCCUUUUGACUCUCAGUAGACAUCCCAUAUUCUGCAACAACUGGGUUUCCUGCUUGCUCCACCAGAUCUCAGUGUUUUCCAAGGUAUGCUUUUACCUGGUCUUGGUCUGGUUAGUUCCUUUGGUGAAACCUUAGAUUUUUGAGGUGAUAGACAACGGUAAUAUUGUGUGCCUUCAUCUGUUUUCUGUUGCUAUAGCAGAACUCCUGAGACUGGGUAAUUAACAAAUUAGAGGUCAUAUGGCCCACAGUCCCAGAGUCUGAGGACUCCCAGAACAUGGUGUGUGAAUCUCCUUGGCAGGUGUCAAGGGUCUUCUUCCUGUAUCAUAGCCUGGAGCAUAGAGUCAGAUGAUGAGACAGAGCAGGUAUGCAUCAGCUCAGAUCUCUCUUCUUAGAAGUCCAUCAGCAACGUUGUCCCAUGUUGGUGGCCUCAUUUAAUCCUAGUUACUUCUCCAGGACUCUACUUCUAAACACCAUCAAGUCUAAAUUUGGGUAACUGAUUUUCAAGAUGCGUAUUAGAGGAUUUAUUUGAAGUGCGGUCCUGUGAUUCCCAGAAGUCAUGAAAGUGGUAUGGAUCUGCUGACGUUGCAAGAGUUUAAACCUAACUCAGGGGCCUACCCUUUGCUGGAGACUUACAAAACCUAACAAAACUUUCCCUACUCUACACCAGUCAUGAUGUUUCUCAAGAAUGGUAGACACGGUUAAACCCCUGAAGCCAGGAUGCACUUAUUACCUGAAGAAACAGCAGGAAAAUGUCGAACAUAGAAGCCUUUAGGCUUUCUCUGUGGUUGUCUUGCUGGGGAACUGUUCAGUUAUAAGCAGAAGUUCCAGGUGGAUUUAAGGUUUCCCAGAGCCAUUAUACCUGGAUGACUUGAGUAUCACCAACAGGAGACUGCCAAGUUCCCAUGAAUACAUAUUAACUAGGGCUGAGAUAACAAUUCUACUUCCCCUCCAGUGUGACACUACGUGAUGACUGGUGGCUGUUUCAAGUGCUUGUUAAGGGUUGGGAGGUCUUAACCAGGUCCAGCCAUAUGAAAGGGUCCUGUGAUCAAUUAGUGAUGCCUGCUAUAGGCAGUUAUUCGCUAGCCCAGAACCAGGGAAAGAUGAAAGAGACAUGUUCUAAGACAGUGUAUCCCAAACUUGGUUGAUGCUAAGAAUUACCUGGAGGGACUUAUUAAAAAUAGAUUCCAGGUUCUUUAUCAGGAGCUAUGAAUCCAAGUGCUUCAGAGUGAGGUAUGGGGAUCUGAACUUAGUGUGUUCAUGCAUCUAUGUAUCUAUGUAUCUAUGCAUCUAUGUAUCAUCUAUAUAUCUAUGUAUCUAUAUAUGUAUCUAUGCAUCUAUGCAUCUAUGUAUCUAUGUAUCUAUGUAUCAUCUAUGUAUGUAUGUAUGUAUGUAUGUAUGUAUGUAUGUAUGUAUGUAUGUAUGUAUGUAUCUAUCUAUCUAUCUAUCUAUCUAUCUAUCUAUCUAUCUAUCUAUCUAUCUAUCUAUCCAUCUAUCUUAUCUAUUUCAUUUUCUGCAAAUCUGGAUGUAGAACUCUCAGAUACCUUCCCAGUACCCUGUCUACCUUCAUGCUGCCAUGCUUCCCGAAAUGAUGAUAAUGGACUAACCCUCUGAAUGUAAGCAAGCCCCAAUUAAGUGGCUUCUUUUCUAAGCAUUGCCAUGGUCAUGGUGUCUCUUCACAACAAUUGAACAUUGAUUAAGACAGAAGCCAAAUGUUAGCUGUGAGCUGCCCAGUAGAAAGGUCUGUACAGCAAGAAACAGAUAUCUUCAAUCCAACAACUUGAAGGAAUAUGAUCUUGCCAACAGCCCCAUAAGUGAAUGUGGAAGUGACUGAUCUGGGAGGUGACUAAUCCCCAGUGGAUGCAUGAGAAAUCUUGAGCCAUGACUUAGCUCAUUUAUUACAAUCAAUAAGCCAGUGUUUUAUAGCAUUAACUAAAGUGCAUAGUUCACAGAAGGGUCACUUUUUGUGUUGUGCUUUCUAUGUGUCUUGGCAUGUAUCUGUUAUUACAGUUAUUACAUGUAAGAGUUCCAUGGCUUUAAAACCUUCUGUACUUUCCAUGUUCAUUCCAAACCUGCUAGCAACCACAGAUCCUAUUGCUGUCAUAGUUCUUUCUGGUCUGGAAUAACACGUAGUUGGGAUUAAUCAAUACGGAGACUC
rnacentral:lncRNA from 1 species